rnacentral:lncRNA from 1 species
CCUUAGCAUUAUUGAUAACUUACUGAAAUGUCAUUGGGCCGGUCUUUUCUUGGAUUUCAACUCUUGAAUAUAUUUUUCAUCUUCAAUUUCUCUAGAUUUUGCAAUAGACCCUGCAUUGACUCGAAAAUCUUGUGUUAAACCCAUCAAAAAUUUGGACGGCUACCUCUAAUAGUGAAAAUACGAUUAGGAGGAAAAGAGUAAAUUUUGAAAUUCAAAUUGGAUGUGUAUGAGUAUUUUAGGAGAGAAUUAGGGAAUGGAGAGAGGAGAGAUAAAGUAAUGUUUGUAUAAAUGAGUAUACAAAAGCCGGGAAGGCUAUUUUUGUUUCGUUAUACAAAGUACUGGUGUGCCCCAUAUUUAAUAGCAAAAUAUAUUAAACUAUAGUCACGUACAAUAAUUAAAUGAAAUUAUACUCUCAUUGAAUAAUAAACUAGUAAUAUUUACCAACUCAUGUAAUUUUCCCUAUUAAAUAUAUCAAUGUAUAUCAAGCAAAAGAUUUUGUGAUAUGCAAAGAUAUACCCGAGAUAUAUGAAUAUAAAAAGUGGUAUAGAGUAAAUUUCAGAUAUUUGACCCAUUGGGCCGUGUAAUUUGGACUUCAAAAUUGAAGUUUCAAUUUGAAAUUUGUGUUGGUUUUGAAAUUUUGAUUCCUAUCACAAGUUCACCUUAAAGAUGUCGAUUCUAAAUUUGUGAUUUCAAUUUUUUUUUUUUCUAAUUUUAAACUUGGCACAUAAGUUUAUAUUUCAUAAAAGUAAUAAUCAUAAUUUUAAUUUUUGCAAAAAAAGAAAAAAAAAAUUCAUUCUCGAUAUGAAGAUGUUGUCUGUAUCAUGUGAGAAGAUUAUAUUAAAAAUAGUUAAUUUGUUACUAUUAUUCAUUUAUUGAGCUAGUCAAGAUCUUUAUAAGAUUAUGUGUAUUAAUAACAUAUAAUGUAAUCGUAAAUCAAUGGAACAGUUACAUUCAUCUCAUCAAGCACUCUAGCAUAUGAAAUCCUCUCCAACUUUUGAGGUACUCUGUUUGGAUGGUUGCUACGUAUUGUUUCUUUAUGUAUUGUAUUGUAUGUAUCGUAUUGUAUUGUAUUGUUUUAAUGAAUAUAAUGUUUGGGUAGAUUAUAUCAUUUUCCGUCAUUGUAUAAUGUCACACAUCAACAAUAUGAAGAAAAAACCUAAAAAAAAGUAGGAUACGUAGUAAAGCUACUAUAAAACGGUAGGGUGAAGGAUUAAAAAUAAGACUUUUCAUUCCAAAUAAAUCGUUAUUCAAAAUGAAAAUUUUUGUUAUUACCAAUGAACGUAACAAUACGAUACAACAAAAAUUUACGUGGGUUUUGUCUAUAUGUAUAUUUUAUGCUAGCUUCAAGCUUUGAGCUUAUUCUUACUUUCGUUAAAGUGAUUAUAUAUCCUUUCACUUAAUUAAGUAGCUUGAAUGUGCAAUUAAUUAGCUUCUAAACCUCUCUAACGCAUGCAUAAUUACUGUGUCAACAUAAUUUGGACAUUAUUUUCUUUGAUUGUUCGUGUCGUUUUUGCACAAGUAAUGACGUACACAUAAUUUUUUCUAAGUGAUUUCACCACUUAAAGGACAAAAAUGACUCAAGAGGAAAAUUUGUGACAAAAUCAAAUAGAAUAAAAUAAAAUAAUUAUUAUGAACAAAUAAAAAUAAAAAUUCAAGCACAUAAUAAAAAAAAAGAAUAACAAAACAAAAAUACUAACAUAAUGUGGAGAUUCGAGAUGUCGAAUGACGAUGAACACGAACUAUUUUUUUUUUGAAGAAACUCAAAGUCACGAAUAUAUAAAUAGAAAGAGUCAACAAUAAAUUUUUUUUAGCUAUAAUUCUAAUUGAUAAAGGACUCAAAGAUUUUAUGCACAAUGACCAGCGCAAUUAGCGCAUCUGUCGGUAGAGGUUCAGAUAAAGUAAGUUUUAUUUCAAUCUAAAAUAAAAAGUAGUAGGUAUAUUUUGAAUGAAUUAGAGUGGGUCCGUAGGUUUUUAAUAACGACCCUACGUUUUUUAAUUCAAAGCUAAAAUUUAAGAGAGAGAAAAACAAUUUAAAACUAAAAUUUAAGAGAAAAAUAAAACAAAAAAUAAGCGCUUUAACCACUUGUGCUGCGAGAAAUUUUGUACAAGCAAAAUGUCCUUUUAAUUCCUUAUAUCGUUUUACUGUUUUCUAUUUAAAAUAUAUAUAUGUAUAUUUUAGUAAAAUUUCCAAUAAAGUUAUGUCACGUGACAACCCUUUCAACAACGUAGAUCCACUCCUUUGCACAAGAAUCAUAUGGUUAAUUAUCUUCGUUGUAUCGUUUCAAUCUAUCUACGUGUCCAAAAAGACGAUCUUUAAUAGCAUAUGCAUUACAAUCAUCUUGUAAAGGGAUAGAUAGAAAAAAGUCUACAUAUAUAGAUAGUACCAUUGUAAUUGUUCGUAUGUUUUAAGAUUCUUUGUUGCCAGUUUUUGCAAAAAAACACUAUGAUUGACACAGAUUCAUUUAUAAUAAUACUACUAUAGUUUCCGUCUUUUUCCUUCCUUUCUUCUUUUAUUUUUUGGAUUAUGUUAAAAAAUAUCUUGAAACUAUUUGAAAUGAAUAAAAAUGUCAUUAGUUGAUAGUUUGGUCCAAAAAUAUCUUUAAUGUUACUUAAUGGGUCAAAAAUGUCAUUUUUCAAAUAAAUAUAUUAUUUCUAAUAUUCUUUUAAACACAUUCUUUUCUUAAUAAUGAUUUUUUUAAUUAGAAAAUGUUUAGGGAAAAGAUAUAAAUUCACCCCUGAAUGUAUCUCAAAAAGUCAGUUAAAUGUUUAAACUAUCAUGGCGACAAAUAAGAUCAACGGAAUAGCAGUGGUGGUUGGAAGGUUGGUGAAGGGGUGGGGGACAUGGAUAGCAAAUUAAAUCAAAGUUAUUACCCUUUUGAUAUAUGAGGGUGGGGAACAAUUAAUUUUUCUUGAUAAUAAUUGUUUGGAAAUUUAGGGGUUGACUCUUCAAUGUUCUUUUGAUGCUAAUGGGUUGUAAAAUUUAGAUUACCAAAGUACUACCUUUUUUGGUGAAUUGGUGAGAAAUAUAUAUAUACUAGAUAAGCGUGCCCGUGCAAGGCACGGGCAUAUUGUGGGGAUAAAAAUAGUUGUAAAGAAAGACGUGAAAAAAAAAGUGCUAAAAGAAAGAUAGGAGCUCUUUAAAGGAAGGAAAGGACGGAAAUCCCCUUGGUAGUCCAAGGGAACCACCACUUAUAUAGUAUGAAUGAUGAUUAUUAUAUAUGAUGAUGAAGAAAGAAAUAUUAAUUAGCCCUACGUGGCUAUUUUUGAUUGGUUUGGUAGUAUUUGAUGAGCUCUUUUAAGGAAGGAAAUGACGGGAAUACCCUUGGUAGUCCAAGGGAACCACCACUUAUAUAGUAUGAAUGAUGAUUAUUAUAUAUGAUGAUGAAGAAAGAAAUAUUAAUUAGCCCUACGUGGCCAUUUUUGAUAGGUUUGGUAGUAUUGGUAGGAGCUCUUUUAAGGAAGGAAAUGACGGGAAUACCCUUGGUAGUCCAAGGGAACCACCACUUAUAUAGUAUGAAUGAUGAUUAUUAUAUAUGAUGAUGAAGAAAGAAAUAUUAAUUAGCCCUACGUGGCCAUUUUUGAUAGGUUUGGUAGUAUUGGUAGGAGCUCUUUUAAGGAAGGAAAUGACGGGAAUACCCUUGGUAGUCCAAGGGAACCACCACUUAUAUAGUAUGAUAUGAUGAAAAAAAUAAAAAUAAAAAUAUAUAUAUAUAUAGUAUGAAGUAUGAUGAUAAUAUAUAGUAAGUUGGUAGUCCAAGGGAACCACGACUUAUAUAAUAUGAUAGGAGCUCUUUUAAGGAAGGAAAUGACGGGAAUACCCUUGGUAGUCCAAGGGAACCACCUUAUAUAGUAUGAUAUGAUGAAAAUAUAUAUAUAUAGUAUGAAGUAUGAUGAUAACAUAUAGUAAGUUGGUAGUCCAAGCGAACCACGACUUAUAUAGUAUGACAGGAGCUCUUUUAAGGAAGGAAAUGACGGGAAUACCCUUGGUAGUCCAAGGGAACCACCAAUUAUAUAGUAUAGUAUGAAGUAUGAUGAUGAUAUAUAGUAAGUUGGUAGUCCAAGCGAACCACGACUUAUAUAGUAUGACAGGAGCUCUUUUAAGGAAGGAAAUGACGGGAAUAACCACCACUUAUAUAGUAUGAAAUCAUGGGAAUACCCUUGGUAGUCCAAGGGAACCACCAAUUAUAUAGUAUAGUAUGAAGUAUGAUGAUGAUAUAUAGUAAGUUGGUAGUCCAAGGGAACCACGACUUAUAUAAUAUGAUAGGAGCUCUUUUAAGGAAGGAAAUGACGGGAAUAACCACCACUUAUAUAGUAUGAAAUCAUGGGAAUACCCUUGGUAGUCCAAGGGAACCACCACUUAUAUAGUAUAAUAUAGGAAGGAAAUGACGGGAAUACCGUUGGUAGUCCAAGGGAACCACCACUUAUAUAGUAUAAUAAUAAUAAUAAAGUAUGAAGUAUGAUGAUGAUAUAUAGUAAGUUGGUAGUCCAAGGGAACCACGACUUAUAUAGUAUGAUGGGAGCUCUUUUAAGGAAGGAAAUUACGGGAAUACCCUUGGUAGUCCAAGGGAAUCACAACUUAUAUAGUAUGAUGAUAUGAUAAAUAAAUAUAUAUAUAUUGUAUGAAGUAUGAUGAUGAUAUAUAGUAAGUUGGUAGUCCAAGGGAACCACCACUUAUAUAGUAUAAUAAUAAUAAUAAAGUAUGAAGUAUGAUGAUGAUAUAUAGUAAGUUGGUAGUCCAAGGGAACCACGACUUAUAUAGUAUGAUGGGAGCUCUUUUAAGGAAGGAAAUUACGGGAAUACCCUUGGUAGUCCAAGGGAACCACCACUUAUAUAGUAUGAUGAUGAUAUAUAGUAAGUUGGUAGUCCAAGGGGAACCACCACUUAUAUAGUAUGAUGAUGAUAUAUAGUAAGUUGGUAGUCCAAGGGAACCACCACUUAUAUAGUAUAAUAAUAAUAAUAAAGUAUGAAGUAUGAUGAUGAUAUAUAGUAAGUUGGUAGUCCAAGGGGAACCACCACUUAUAUAGUAUGAAUGAUGAUGAUGAAGAAAGAAAUAUUAAUUAGCCUUACGUGGCCAUUGUUGAUAGGUUUGGUAGUAUUGGUAGGAGCUCUUUUAAGGAGGAAAUGACGGGAAUACCCUUGGUAGUCCAAGGGAACCACCACUUAUAUAGUAUGAUCGAAAGAAACCACCACCUAUAUAGUAUGAUCGAAGGAAACCACCACCUAUAUAGNNNNNNNNNNNNNNNNNNNNNNNNNNNNNNNNNNNNNNNNNNNNNNNNNNNNNNNNNNNNNNNNNNNNNNNNNNNNNNNNNNNNNNNNNNNNNNNNNNNNAUAACAUAUAACAAUUUAAUAUAAAAAUAAAUUAUUUAUAAAAUCUACAAAUUAUAUCAGUAUGCAUUAAUAAAAAGAAAAUUAAAUUUUAAAUCAUGAGUGUUACCAAAAUAACAAAUAUUCCCAUAAUUAAUACCGACAAUACCUGAAAUUUGUUUUUGAAUUAAUCUACAUUAUUACAUUAUUUUAUUUAUGCAAAGAGUUUGAUUGGGGAAAAAAAUAUCUUUUUGUUAACAAGAUUUAAUCUUUUUGUUAACAAAUUUAUUCUUUAAAAAUAAUUAAAAAAAAAUAGUAAACACUUAAAAUUUCUCUAUGAAAAAUUGAUAUUAAAUUUGUAAGUAAUUAUAUUGGGCCCGUAUACGGGCCUUCAGUUAUCUAGUAUAUAUAUAAAGGAGGAACAUAUGUGAUGUGACACCUCUUUAUGGUCUCCAUUCAUAUUUAUUUAUUUUUUCUCCUUUUCUUGACACUUUUUCUUAUUUUUUUUAAUUAUUUUUUUCUUGCAAAAUCAUCUUCUUAAGUUAUACCUCUUCAAUUUUAUAAAUUCUAUUCUUAAAUUAGUAUUAAUAAUAUUCACAGCUCCCAAUCCUUUCAUAUUCAUUACCUCUCAAGCUUUUCUUAUUCAUAACCUUUAAUUAUUUAAUGUAGAAGGUUAUAUUAACACUAUAAAAUCACACUAAAAUUGUGUGUUAUUUUGUAGUCAUCUUUGGUUAGAGAAUUAGUGGCAACAAUAUUUUUAAGCUUUGAGGUGCAUUAUCUUUUUCAAAUAUGAUUUCAUAUAUUACUUUUAAUUAGCAAGUAAGGCUAAUAUGUCAAAGCAUAUUUUUGUUUCUUCCGGAUAAAUUAUUUUGGUUUGUUAUCUUUAUGAUUCUCUUUAUAACCAUAAAAAUGGAGAUUCAUUUUAAGACUAAUAAUUUGUUAUUAUUUUUCUUGACUCUUGUAUAUAGGAUGAAAUGAAAUCAUCCAGAGAUGGAGCUUAAUGGAUUUUGAGCUAUAUAGAUUCAAAUUGAUUAUUCUUUAUUUUUUUUAGGUGCUUAAGAAGUAAUGUUUCUAUUAUAUUAUUUUCUUUUGGAUUAUUUAUGUUUUGUCAAAAAUGAUUAUGUGUAGGAGGACUUAUGAUUAAAUGUAAUUUUCUCUUUAUUCUUUAUCCUUUUCUUCUUUGCUAGAUAAUUUUUAAACUUAUUUGAUCAUAUUUUGCAGAUCAUAGGAGAUAUAUCUAUAAUGAAAAUGGUUAGACAUUCUUGCAUAAUUUGAUUUUACAAGGUAAAAUAAUUUGAUAUGUCUAAUAUAAUUACAACUCUUUUUUUGUUGAAAUCAUACAUUUAAUAUUAUUUGUUUGUGUUCGUGAAGAUAUAAAUCUUGAGUUUCUUAAAAAAAAUUAUUUAAUUAAUUCUCUUUAGACCUCUAUGUAAUUCUUAGAUAAUUUAAUUAUAUUAUACUGAUAACACUCUACAAAAAAAUUAUUUGUUUAAGUAAAUUCAUCUCUCACUUUUUUGUUGAUAAUAUUAGUUUAUUGUAUUUGUGGGCUAUAAUAUUUUAAAACAUAGAAGCAGAGUCAAUGGAUAUCGAAAUGCUACUUAAAGAAAUACGUACAUAUACUUCCAUAGUCUGGUGGAGCAAUUUUUAUUAACAAAAAUGAAAGAACAUGAGAAUGUAAAGUUAAUUUAUAAUUUUGAAAAUAUAGUAGGUUUUAUUAAAAACAAAUUAUUUAUUAAUGUGUAAAAUUGCCGUCAUUAAAUUUUUCGUUUUUGUUGUUUUCUAGGAGAUUUCAGGUUGUUUAUUAAUAAGUCAAGUUGCAUUCUUUAUAUUUUUCAUCUUUGUUGUUUUCCAGGAGUUCUCAAGUUAUUUCAAAAAUUGCAAUUAAUUUAUAAUUUUAAAAAUACAGUUGGUUUCCUUGAUUUCUAUUUACUUAUAAUAAAAUAUCUGUCUCAAUAACUCUAAUUUGUUUGUCUUUUCAUUUUCUAUAUUUAAUGUUCUUUAUUAGUGUAAUAAUGUACAAAUAUUACUCCUAUUAUGUUACAAACAAGUCCAAAGCCACAUUCUUAAUCCUCUUAAUUACUGUGACUCUUUAUUCUUAGGAAUUUAUUAUAUUGAAUAUAAUAUUUAUUUAAAUUGUGAAAUAUACUUUUUAAUAUUUUUGUGUAUAAGCCAAGCAAAAUUAAAAGAAAUAGGAAUUUGUAUGUGUCAUUUUUUUUAAUCUUUUUGCGUAGUUAAUUCUCUCUUUUGUUCUCUUUUAUGUUUAUUUUUAAAUUUUACAUUCUUUUGUUUUGUACAUUCUUUUGCUUUCCCAAUAUAAGCUGUCCCAAAAAUAAUUGGAUAUCUGAACCUAAAUAUAAUAAUAAUAAUAAUAUAUUAAGAUAUGGAAACUAACUAAUUAAGAUUAUUAUUUUUCAUCAUUUAAAUGUAAACUUAUUGUUAUUUAAAAUUUAAUUAUUAAAAAGCUAUUAAUCUAAUAUUAAAUUAAUCUAAUAUUGUACAAUAAAAAUAAUUAAAAUAUGUGAUGAUUGGGUGAUGACGACGUCAAGUCAUAGUAAUUGUGGAUGAUGAUUAAAAAUAGUUUUGGCUAACGAUGUAGUCAUGGAUAAUAACUAUUAAUGGCAAUCUGAGUUUACACAUUGUCAAAAAAUUAUGCUAAGAAUAUAAUUAAAAAGAUCAUAAAGAAGCAGAAAAGAAUGAUCAAAUUUCAAGUUUACAUAAAUAUAGAUAAAUUAUACUAAAAAAGAUCCCAAAUAAAAAAGAAAAAAACUAUCACAUCUCAAGUUUAUAUUCCAGUAGUUCUAAUAUUACCUUCUCUUUUUCUCCAUGAAAUUUAUUUUUAAUAUUUAACUUUUAGAAGUUCACAUAUAUUGAUUUCUUAAUGAAUUUCAUAGUUAACCUAAAUAUUUUUCAUAGCUUCUCUUCUAUGAAAUUCUGUGAUUAAUAAAAAAUUCCUUUUAUUAAAGUAAUUACUGAUAUUAGUAUGUAAUUUUAUUUUAAUUCUUUUCAUAACCGCACGAAACAAGACUAAGUACACUAAUUAGUGGAGAAUUCUCAAGUAAUGAUGAAUUGAGUGCAAAAUUGUAGAGUUGUGAUAAGAAAAAAAUAAAGAAGAAAAAGUCUAAAGGAGAAUUAAGGAAGAUGAGCACGAAGGAGGAGAAUAGAGCGGGGUGGGGGUCAAAAAAUUAACUUUUUUUUACUUUAUUUUCGACUCAAAAGUGCCUAUUUUUUUUUAUUAUUUUAUUUUAUUUUCAUGUCAGUUCUAAGGUGGUAUUAGUUACACUUUUAACAAGAAUAAGUGUGCAAUAGGUCGUCAUGAUAGUUUAAGCGAGUAACUGAUUUUUCGGGACAAGUUGAAGGGUGAAUUUAAUGGGGCCUUUUUGACCCAUUAAAUAACAAUAAGAUCAUUUUUGGACAAAACUAUUGAAAACAAGAGCAUUUUUUUUUACCAAACUAUCAACUAAGUACAUUUUUGUUCAAGUAACAUAGUUUAAGGGUAUUUUUGACUCUUUUCCGUUUAUCUUUUUUGAUCGAAUAAUUAUAAUUUUGUAGAACUUUACGAGAAAAACAUUUUUUGGUUUUUUUCUUUGAAUUUUCUCACGUUCAUCUCCCUCAAGGUAAAUAAAGAAACAAGGACCAACAAAUUAAACAAUGAUUAAUUAAUUAAAUGGAUUACAACUUGAUCAAGAGCUUUAGCAACAUAAAUAUAAUUAAAAUGUGUGAAAUGAAUAACAAAAGUCUGUACCUUGAUUAAUUUCUAGUGGAUGCAGACAAAAUUGUGGAAAAAAAAAUAUAAGGAAAAAAGAUAGAACACAUAAACAAAAUACAUAAAUUGCCCACCUCAUUUCCGAUCAAAGAGUGUUUGUGAGACUUCGAAAAAACAUUCACACUUUGAUUCGUGAGUAACUUCACGAGAACAUUGUGAAAGGAGAAAAUGGCGGUUGUACUGCUCAUGAAGUCUUGAUAAACCCUUGACGAACGUAACAAAAGUUACUCGAUACUUGUGUCAUCAGUAACAUCUGUAAUAGUAGGCAGUGUCCUAUAGAGUGGUAGUUGGUAAUUAUUCCCAGCAUUGCUAUCAAGUUGAGCACGGAUAGAAAUUGUAAGGACAGGAAUUGUUGAGAGUAUGUGAAGAGUCCAUUCCCAUAAAUUAGAAAUCCAAUUAGAACAAGACAUGAAUAAUAAAGAAAAUAAAAUAAUAAUGAAAAAAAUAUACCAAAAUAACACUUGUGGGAGUAAAAGUGUGAUUAUAACAAAGAUACUAAAGAACUUGGAAAAAGUUCCAAAUUGUAUUUCUAUACUUAUAGGACGAUUAGAAUAAUUAGUCAUGUGGAUUAUUCUAAUAGAAAUGAUGGAGAAAAUAAAGGAAAGUGAUAUAAGUAAAAGAAUCUUAUUUAUGAGUAUGAUAAAACUAAAUAAUAUUGGAUCAGAAUCAUAAUAUAAUAAUAAAUGGAAAGGAUCCCAAUCAGAAGAAGUGGAUUUGGAGAUGUUAAUUAGCAUCAAAAUAAUGUACCUUAGAUCGUAGAUUCUCAUGAUUAGUUACCCCUAUAUUUUCCGACUGGCUAGAGAGAGACAAAUCGUUUUUGGUAGAUCCUCAAGAAAUAGUCUAAGAACUAUCAAAGGAAUAUAUUCAGAGAUCAAUCAAUUGAUCAAAAUUUGUAUUUGUCGAUUCCUCUCUAUCUCGCUCUCUCUCUCUCUCUCUAUAUAUAUAUAUAUAGGGUUGUGAAAACUUUGAAGAUUUACACAUGACGCG